GACGAACGCGGCGGCGUGCCUAAUACAUGCAAGUAGAACGCUGAAGGAGGAGCUUGCUCUUUCCGGAUGAGUUGCGAACGGGUGAGUAACGCGUAGGUAACCUGCCUGGUAGCGGGGGAUAACUAUUGGAAACGAUAGCUAAUACCGCAUAAGAGUAGAUAUCGCAUGAUAGCUGCUUGAAAGGUGCAAUUGCACCACUACCAGAUGGACCUGCGUUGUAUUAGCUAGUUGGUGAGGUAACGGCUCACCAAGGCAACGAUACAUAGCCGACCUGAGAGGGUGAUCGGCCACACUGGGACUGAGACACGGCCCAGACUCCUACGGGAGGCAGCAGUAGGGAAUCUUCGGCAAUGGACGGAAGUCUGACCGAGCAACGCCGCGUGAGUGAAGAAGGUUUUCGGAUCGUAAAGCUCUGUUGUAAGAGAAGAACGAGUGUGAGAGUGGAAAGUCAC
rnacentral:rRNA from 1 species